UCCAGACUCCUACGGGAGGCAGCAGUGGGGAAUAUUGCGCAAUGGGCGAAAGCCUGACGCAGCGACGCCGCGUGAGGGAAGACGGUUUUCGGAUUGUAAACCUCUGUCCUCUGUGAAGAUGAUGACGGUAGCAGAGGAGGAAGCACCGGCUAACUCCGUGCCAGCAGCCGCGGUAAUACGGAGGGUGCGAGCGUUAAUCGGAAUUACUGGGCGUAAAGCGCUCGUAGGCGGUAUGUCAAGUCAAGGGUGAAAUCCCCGCGCUCAACGUGGGAACUGCCUUUGAAACUGGCAAACUGGAGUGUGUGAGAGGAUAGUGGAAUUCCAGGUGUAGGAGUGAAAUCCGUAGAUAUCUGGAGGAACAUCAGUGGCGAAGGCGACUAUCUGGCACAUAACUGACGCUGAGGAGCGAAAGCGUGGGUAGCAAACAGGAUUAGAUACCCUGGUAU
rnacentral:rRNA from 1 species